rnacentral:rRNA from 1 species
CCUACGGGAGGCAGCAGUGAGGAAUAUUGGUCAAUGGGCGAGAGCCUGAACCAGCCAAGUAGCGUGAAGGAUGACUGCCCUACGGGUUGUAAACUUCUUUUAUAAAGGAAUAAAGUGCGGCACGUGUGCCCUUUUGUAUGUACCUUAUGAAUAAGGCUCGGCUAACUCCGUGCCAGCAGCCGCGGUAAUACGGAGGGUCCGAGCGUUAUCCGGAUUGAUUGGGUUUAAAGGGUGCGUAGGUGGGUUGUUAAGUCAGUUGUGAAAGUUUGCGGCUCAACCGUAAAAUUGCAGUUGAUACUGGCAGGCUUGAGUACAGUAGAGGUAGGCGGAAUUCGUGGUGUAGCGGUGAAAUGCUUAGAUAUCACGAAGAACUCCGAUUGCGAAGGCAGCCUACUAGACUGCCACUGACAUUGAUGCUCGAAAGUGUGGGUAUCAAACAGGAUUAGAUACCCCAGUAGUC